CUUCCUUUGGGGAGCUUUUCAUUGUGAGCCUAAAUCUUCUGUUAUAGGAAGCGGUCCCAACGAGUCAAUGAAGGCAGCUGCACUGGCCAGGGCUGUGACCCAAGCCACAGCCUGAACAAUGAAUUCUGUGAAGGAAGAAGGGCAAACCUCUGGGAAUUGCCUGUUUCCUUGGAAGAUGUGAGGAGCCUGUUGCUUAGAGGACCUCACUGCAUCUUUCGAGCAAGGAAAAGGCAGUGCUGCCCCACAAUGGACAAAAGGGGUGCAAGAUCCCAAGGUCUCCUUCAGCGUCAGAUUUCCAACUUCAGGUUUAGAGGUUUGAGGGACUUCAAUUGUGUGACAAAACUCUGAUGGCAGAGGUGCCCAAUCUUCAGCAGUUGCAUCAGCAAAAAGCAUGAGUCAGAAGCUGAUGUUGGUGGUACGGCAGAAGAGGCUGAACCUUCCCACCACUAUUUCCUUCCGUAUUGUUGGCAUGUGACAGAUGGCAGCAUAGGCACAGUCUGUCAAAAUGAAAGUGAAUUGUGGAUGAAGCAAAGGUGUCAUUGAAUUCCUCUAUGCAGAAAAAAUGGCACCUAUUGACAUUCAUUGAUGCUUGCUGAACGUUGAUGGAGACCAAACAGUGGAUGUGAGCACACAGUGGGGCAGUGGGUGGUGUUUCAGCAGUAGCGACAGCAAUGUAAAAGAUGAGCCAUGUUCCAGAUGGCCGUGCACAGCUGUCACACCACUAAAUGAAGAACAUCUCAAUCACCACGUGAACUGGUGGAUUUCGACCAGAGUAUUGUGUACAGAACUGAAUAUCAUCUUAAAUGUGUUGGAAACAAUAGUGACAAUAUUGGAAUAUUGUCAAGUUUGCAGCAGGUGGGUAUCAUGAAUGCUCACACUGGAACAGAAAGAACACUAUGCAAGUUUGUCAGGACCUACUGAACCAAUACAAGGCUGAAGGUGACAGUUUCCUGGAUCACAUCAUUACUAGUAACAAGCUGUGGUGCUACCACUAUGAGCUGAUGUCAAAAUAGCAAUCCACGGAGUGUUGUGAAUUCCCCACUGAAGAAAAGGUGCGCUCUGCAGCCUUCAGCAUUUAAAGUGAUGUGCACUGUCUUUUGAGACAGAAA